rnacentral:rRNA from 1 species
UAGGGAAUAUUGCUUAAUGGGCGAAAGCCUGAAGCAGCAACGCCGCGUGAACGAAGAAGGCCUUCGGGUCGUAAAGUUCUUUUACGUGGGAUGAGGAAGGACAGUACCACGAGAAUAAGUCUCGGCUAACUACGUGCCAGCAGCCGCGGUAAAACGUAGGAGACGAGCGUUAUCCGGAUUUACUGGGCGUAAAGCGCGUGUAGGAGGCGCUACAAGUUGGAUGUGAAAGCUCCCGGCUUAACUGGGAGAGGUCGUUCAAGACUGUAGUGAGAGAGUGAGGCAGAGGUAGAUGGAACUCGGAGAGGAGUGGAGAAAUGCGUAGAUAGCCGGGAGAACAC